GACGAACGCUGGCGGCGUGCUUAACACAUGCAAGUCGAGCGAGGCCCCUCCUUCGGGAGGGUGUCCUAGCGGCGAACGGGUGAGUAACACGCGGGCAACCUGCCCUCAGCUCUGGGAUAACUCCGGGAAACCGGGGCUAAUACCGGAUACGACCUCCACGGGCCCCUGCGGAGGUGGAAAGUUUUUCGGCUGGGGAUGGGCUCGCGGCCUAUCAGCUAGUUGGUAGGGUAGUGGCUCACCAAGGCGACGACGGGUAGCCGGCCUGAGAGGGCGACCGGCCACACUGGGACUGAGACACGGCCCAGACUCCUACGGGAGGCAGCAGUGGGGAAUAUUGCGCAAUGGGCGAAAGCCUGACGCAGCGACGCCGCGUGAGGGACGAAGGCCUUCGGGUUGUAAACCUCUUUCAGCAGGGACGAAGCGAAAGUGACGGUACCUGCAGAAGAAGCACCGGCCAACUACGUG
rnacentral:rRNA from 1 species